rnacentral:rRNA from 1 species
UACAGAGGGUGCAAGCGUUGUUCGGAAUUAUUGGGCGUAAAGGGCGCGUAGGCGGUGCCACAAGUCACUUGUGAAAUCUCCGGGCUUAACUCGGAGCCUGCAGGCGAAACUGUGGUGCUGGAGUGUGGGAGAGGAAAGCGGAAUUCCUGGUGUAGCGGUGAAAUGCGUAGAUAUCAGGAGGAACACCGAUGGCGAAGGCAGGUCUCUGGGCCACUACUGACGCUGAGAAGCGAAAGCAUGGGGAGCGAACAGG